UUUAAGUGCAACCAUAAGUUUUCGCGCCCAAUUUUGAUCGUCCGUCAUAUUUGAAAAAAAUUUAUAAUUAGUAUUUUUGUUGUUAUGAGAUGAUAAAAUAUAAAUAGUAUUUUAUUCGUGACUUAUGUUUUUAAUUUUUUUUCAGAAAAAAUUUAAAUAAGACGGAUAGUCAAAGUUGGGCACGGAAAACCAUGACUGCACUUAAA
rfam:Oryza rufipogon genomic scaffold, chr07